rnacentral:rRNA from 2 species
UUAAGCGACUAAGCGUACACGGUGGAUGCCCUGGCAGUCAGAGGCGAUGAAGGACGUGCUAAUCUGCGAAAAGCGCCGGCGAGGUGAUAUGAACCUUUGACCCGGCGAUGUCCGAAUGGGGAAACCCAGUGCAAUCCGUUGCACUAUCGUUAACUGAAUACAUAGGUUAACGAGGCGAACCGGGGGAACUGAAACAUCUAAGUACCCCGAGGAAAAGAAAUCAACCGAGAUUCCCCCAGUAGCGGCGAGCGAACGGGGAGCAGCCCGGAGUCUGAAUCAGCUUGUGUGUUAGUGGAACGGUCUGGAAAGUCCGACGGUACAGGGUGAUAGUCCCGUACACGAAAGCACACAUGCUGUGAACUCGAAGAGUAGGGCGGGACACGUGGUAUCCUGUCUGAAUAUGGGGGGACCAUCCUCCAAGGCUAAAUACUCCUGACUGACCGAUAGUGAACCAGUACCGUGAGGGAAAGGCGAAAAGAACCCCGGCGAGGGGAGUGAAAAAGAACCUGAAACCGUGUACGUACAAGCAGUGGGAGCCUCUUUAUGGGGUGACUGCGUACCUUUUGUAUAAUGGGUCAGCGACUUAUAUUCUGUAGCAAGGUUAACCGUAUAGGGGAGCCGAAGGGAAACCGAGUCUUAACUGGGCGUUAAGUUGCAGGGUAUAGACCCGAAACCCGGUGAUCUAGCCAUGGGCAGGUUGAAGGUUGGGUAACACUAACUGGAGGACCGAACCGACUAAUGUUGAAAAAUUAGCGGAUGACCUGUGGCUGGGGGUGAAAGGCCAAUCAAACCGGGAGAUAGCUGGUUCUCCCCGAAAGCUAUUUAGGUAGCGCCUCGUGAAUUCAUCUUCGGGGGUAGAGCACUGUUUCGGCUAGGGGGCCAUCCCGGCUUACCAACCCGAUGCAAACUACGAAUACCGAAGAAUGUUAUCACGGGAGACACACGGCGGGUGCUAACGUCCGUCGUGAAGAGGGAAACAACCCAGACCGCCAGCUAAGGUCCCAAAGUCAUGGUUAAGUGGGAAACGAUGUGGGAAGGCACAGACAGCCAGGAUGUUGGCUUAGAAGCAGCCAUCAUUUAAAGAAAGCGUAAUAGCUCACUGGUCGAGUCGGCCUGCGCGGAAGAUGUAACGGGGCUAAACCAUGCACCGAAGCUGCGGCAGCGACACUAUGUGUUGUUGGGUAGGGGAGCGUUCUGUAAGCCGUUGAAGGUGUCCUGUGAGGGGUGCUGGAGGUAUCAGAAGUGCGAAUGCUGACAUAAGUAACGAUAAAGCGGGUGAAAAGCCCGCUCGCCGGAAGACCAAGGGUUCCUGUCCAACGUUAAUCGGGGCAGGGUGAGUCGACCCCUAAGGCGAGGCCGAAAGGCGUAGUCGAUGGGAAACAGGUUAAUAUUCCUGUACUUGGUGUUACUGCGAAGGGGGGACGGAGAAGGCUAUGUCAGCCGGGCGACGGUUGUCCCGGUUUAAGCAUGUAGGCGGAGGUUCCAGGUAAAUCCGGUACCUUGUUAACGCUGAGGUGUGAUGACGAGGCACUACGGUGCUGAAGUGAUAAAUGCCCUGCUUCCAGGAAAAGCCUCUAAGCAUCAGGUAACACGAAAUCGUACCCCAAACCGACACAGGUGGUCAGGUAGAGAAUACCAAGGCGCUUGAGAGAACUCGGGUGAAGGAACUAGGCAAAAUGGUGCCGUAACUUCGGGAGAAGGCACGCUGAUAUGUAGGUGAAGUCCCUGCGGACGGAGCUGAAAUCAGUCGAAGAUACCAGCUGGCUGCAACUGUUUAUUAAAAACACAGCACUGUGCAAACACGAAAGUGGACGUAUACGGUGUGACGCCUGCCCGGUGCCGGAAGGUUAAUUGAUGGGGUUAGCGGCAACGCGAAGCUCUUGAUCGAAGCCCCGGUAAACGGCGGCCGUAACUAUAACGGUCCUAAGGUAGCGAAAUUCCUUGUCGGGUAAGUUCCGACCUGCACGAAUGGCGUAAUGAUGGCCAGGCUGUCUCCACCCGAGACUCAGUGAAAUUGAACUCGCUGUGAAGAUGCAGUGUACCCGCGGCAAGACGGAAAGACCCCGUGAACCUUUACUAUAGCUUGACACUGAACACUGGUCCUUGAUGUGUAGGAUAGGUGGGAGGCUUUGAAGCGUGGACGCCAGUCUGCGUGGAGCCAACCUUGAAAUACCACCCUUUAAUGGCUGGUGUUCUAACGUAGACCCGUAAUCCGGGUUGCGGACAGUGUCUGGUGGGUAGUUUGACUGGGGCGGUCUCCUCCCAAAGAGUAACGGAGGAGCACGAAGGUUGGCUAAUCCUGGUCGGACAUCAGGAGGUUAGUGCAAUGGCAUAAGCCAGCUUGACUGCGAGCGUGACGGCGCGAGCAGGUGCGAAAGCAGGUCAUAGUGAUCCGGUGGUUCUGAAUGGAAGGGCCAUCGCUCAACGGAUAAAAGGUACUCCGGGGAUAACAGGCUGAUACCGCCCAAGAGUUCAUAUCGACGGCGGUGUUUGGCACCUCGAUGUCGGCUCAUCACAUCCUGGGGCUGAAGUAGGUCCCAAGGGUAUGGCUGUUCGCCAUUUAAAGUGGUACGCGAGCUGGGUUUAGAACGUCGUGAGACAGUUCGGUCCCUAUCUGCCGUGGGCGCUGGAGAAUUGAGGGGGGCUGCUCCUAGUACGAGAGGACCGGAGUGGACGCAUCACUGGUGUUCGGGUUGUCAUGCCAAUGGCACUGCCCGGUAGCUAAAUGCGGAAAAGAUAAGUGCUGAAAGCAUCUAAGCACGAAACUUGCCCCGAGAUGAGUUCUCCCUGAGACCUUGAGUCUCCUGAAGGAACGUUGAAGACUACGACGUUGAUAGGUCGGGUGUGUAAGCGCAGCGAUGCGUUGAGCUAACCGAUACUAAUGAACCGUGAGGCUUAACCUU